CCCAACUGCACCCCCACCAGCGACAAUAACAAAAAUCCACUUCACUACCUAGCUAAAGCAUUUUAUAAACUUAGUAUAGGCGAUAGAAAAGACCCUUUGGCGCGAUAGAGACUCUGUACCGUAAGGGAAAGAUGAAAUAACAAUGAAAAGCAAAGCAAAAAACAGCAAAGAUUAACCCUUGUACCUCUUGCAUCAUGAUUUAGCAAGAAUAACCAAGCAAAGUGAAUUUAAGCUUGCCAUCCCGAAACCCAAGCGAGCUACUUGCAAGCAGCUACCUAUGAGCGAACCCGUCUCUGUUGCAAAAGUGUGGGAUGACUUGCUAGUAGAGGAGAAAAGCCAACCGAGCUGGGUGAUAGCUGGUUGCCUGUGAAAUGAAUCUCAGUUCCCUCUUGACCCUCCUCCCUGGACAUAACCUUAACCCCCAUGUAGUGAGUCAAGAGUAAUUUAAAGGAGGUACAGCUCCUUUAAAAAAGGGUACAACCUCCACUAGCGGAUAACUACCUACCCCAACCUCCCAAACUGUAGGCCCUUAAGCAGCCACCAAUAAAGAGUGCGUCAAAGCUCUACAUGUAAAAAUCCAAUAACAAUACGACUCCCUCCACCAUUAACAGGCCAACCUAUACCAAUAGGAGCAUUAAUGCUAAAAUAAGUAACCAAGCUCAUAUAAGAACCAGGAGCUCAUCCUCUUAAGCGCAAACUUACACUCACACUGAUUAACAGAUAACAAGCCAAUAUUUCAACUAUAACAAGACUAAAAUAUUGAACCCGCCCUGUUACACCAACCGAGGAGCGCCUAACUAGAAAGAUUAAAAUCUGUAAAAGGAACUAGGCAAACCCAAGGCCCGACUGUUUACCAAAAACAUAGCCUUCAGCCCACCAAGUAUUGAAGGUGAUGCCUGCCCAGUGACACUAUGUUUAACGGCCGCGGUAUCCUAACCGUGCGAAGGUAGCGCAAUCAAUUGUCCCAUAAAUCGAGACUUGUAUGAAUGGCUAAACGAGGUCUUAACUGUCUCUUACAGAUAAUCAGUGAAAUUGAUCUUCCUGUGCAAAAGCAGGAAUGCUAACAUAAGACGAGAAGACCCUGUGGAACUUAAAAAUCAGCAGCCACUACAAACAAACUUAAACCUACCAGGCUUCCCUCACCCUAAACACUGGCCUGCAUUUUUCGGUUGGGGCGACCUUGGAGAAAAACAAACCCUCCAAAAAUAAGACUACAACUCUUAACCAAGAGCUACUCCUCAACGUACUAACAGUAACCAGACCCAAUACAAUUGACCAAUGGACCAAGCUACCCCAGGGAUAACAGCGCAAUCCCCUCUAAGAGCCCACAUCGACGAGGGGGUUUACGACCUCGAUGUUGGAUCAGGACAUCCUAAUGGUGCAGCCGCUAUUAAGGGUUCGUUUGUUCAACGAUUAACAGUCCUACGUGAUCUGAGUUCAGACCGGAGCAAUCCAGGUCGGUUUCUAUCUAUGACAAACUUUCCCCAGUACGAAAGGACCGAGAAAGUGGGGCCAAUACCACAAGCACGCCCCCUCCACAAGUAAUGCACCCAACUAAAUUACCAAAGGACACCCCACACUACCACUCCUAGAAAAGGACCA
rnacentral:rRNA from 1 species